GGCAGGAGAAGCUGUAGCAGCAGGAGCUGAGUGGAUGUGAGAUGUGAAGGAAAGAGGAAUCAAGCGCGAGCCCUAAGUAUUAUUAACUGAGUUGACAACAAUGGAGGAAAGCAAAGGGAUCCUGUUUUUGGAGAAAAGGUGCUUAAACCCCAACAGAUUCCUCUGGUUUAACUACCCAAGGAAGGAUGCUUGAGGCAGUCUGGCUCCC
rnacentral:lncRNA from 1 species